rnacentral:rRNA from 1 species
AUUGAACGCUGGCGGCAGGCCUAACACAUGCAAGUCGAGCGGGGUUUUCGGACCUAGCGGCGGACGGGUGAGUAAUGCGUAGGAAGCUACCCGAUAGAGGGGGAUACCAGUUGGAAACGACUGUUAAUACCGCAUAAUGUCUACGGACCAAAGUGUGGGACCUUCGGGCCACAUGCUAUCGGAUGCGCCUACGUGGGAUUAGCUAGUUGGUGAGGUAAUGGCUCACCCAGGCGACGAUCCCUAGCUGGUUUGAGAGGCUGAUCAGCCACACUGGAACUGAGACACGGUCCAGACUCCUACGGGAGGCAGCAGUGGGGAAUAUUGGACAAUGGGCGCAAGCCUGAUCCAGCCAUGCCGCGUGUGUGAAGAAGGCCUUCGGGUUGUAAAGCACUUUCAGUAGGGAGGAAGAGUUGAGUGUUAAUAGUACUCAGCUUUGACGUUACCUACAGAAGAAGCACCGGCUAACUCUGUGCCAGCCGCCGCCGUAAUAC